rfam:Anopheles dirus strain WRAIR2 unplaced genomic scaffold supercont1.20, whole genome shotgun sequence.
AAAACGGCUCUUUUCAGAGCCACCAUAAAAUUAAAAAAAGAUUUUU